rnacentral:rRNA from 1 species
UACGAAGGGGGCUAGCGUUGUUCGGAAUUACUGGGCGUAAAGGGCGCGUAGGCGGUGUGUCAAGUCAGGCGUGAAAGCCCCGGGCUCAACCUGGGAACCGCGCUUGAGACUGGCACGCUCGAGUCCGGGAGAGGAUGGUGGAAUUCCCAGUGUAGAGGUGAAAUUCGUAGAUAUUGGGAAGAACACCGAUGGCGAAGGCAGCCAUCUGGACCGGCACUGA